GGUCCCAUAGCUCAGCUGGAUAGAGCAACUGCCUUCUAAGCAGUAGGCCUUUGGUUCGAAUCCAAAUGGGAUCA
rnacentral:tRNA from 1 species